CCUACGGGAGGCAGCAGUGGGGGAUAUUGCACAAUGGGGGAAACCCUGAUGCAGCGACGCCGCGUGGGCGAAGAAGUAUUUCGGUAUGUAAAGCCCUAUCAGCAGGGAAGAAGAAAUGACGGUACCUGAGUAAGAAGCACCGGCUAAAUACGUGCCAGCAGCCGCGGUAAUACGUAUGGUGCAAGCGUUAUCCGGAUUUACUGGGUGUAAAGGGAGCGCAGGCGGCACGGCAAGCCUGAUGUGAAAGCCCGCGGCCCAACCGCGGGACUGCAUUGGGAACUACCGGGCUGGAGUGCCGGAGAGGUAGGCGGAAUUCCUAGUGUAGCGGUGAAAUGCGUAGAUAUUAGGAGGAACACCAGUGGCGAAGGCGGCUUACUGGACUGUAAAUGACGCUGAGGCUCGAAAGCGUGGGGAGCAAACAGGAUUAGAUACCCCGGUAGUC
rnacentral:rRNA from 1 species